UAUAACACAUGAUUGAAACAACGACGAAAUGAAGUAUAAAUACUCUGACUUAAUUUUGUCAAAUUUACAAUAUCAAAGUACGUAUAAAAAUUUAAGCUAUACUAAAAGUUAGAAGAAUUCUUCAAUAUAUUGUUAUAACAAUUGAAAUUAUUCGCUAAAGAAGUGAACAAUUAAUUGAAUAAUUCAAUUGAUGAGUAAACAAAACAAUUCAAUAUGAAAACAAAAAGCAUUUUUUUUAUCAGUUAUUUGUCAAUUUUAAUUCAAAAAGAAUCUGCAUUUGAGAAUUUCAAAAUAGACUUGAAUCAUUUAUAUGCUGAUGAUUGGAAUAAUACCUGGACCUAUAUUAUCGACAUAGCGAAUGCUAAUCAAAUUACCACUAAUAAUCCAGUAGAAAAAGCAGCAUGGGAAUAUACAAUCAUGAUAGUUGGUGUAACACCGUAUCCUUCUUCAUCGAUUUUCAUAAAAUGUGCUGAGAUUGUCCUUCCAUAUUUAUAUAAUAAAACGUACGUGCCUUUGGCAAGUAGGAUCAGAAACGGCUAUAUUGAUUUCGGAAUUAAUGUGGAUAAAAUGUAUGAUGUAAUAUUACAUGAUCUUCAGAGAAAAAACAUAGACGACAAAUAUUAUAGCAUACCAGAAUCCUUUUCUCAACGCUUUAUGAAAAAAAAAAAUAAAUAGUUGUAAUUAUAAUGUAACUACAUAAAAGUACUAAAAAUAUCGAAAGAUACAUGUAAAUGUCAUAGUAUACUUGUAAAUUGCAGAAAUGCGUUAAAUAAAUAUAUAAAUAAAUAAAUACAUCAUAUAU